rnacentral:rRNA from 1 species
CGCGAAGAACCUUACCUGGGCUAGAAUGCUGGGAGACUGUGAGUGAAAGCUCAUUUUGUAGCAAUACACUGCCAGUAAGGUGCUGCAUGGCUGUCGUCAGCUCGUGCCGUGAGGUGUUGGGUUAAGUCCCGCAACGAGCGCAACCCCCAUCACUAGUUGCCAUCAGGUAACGCUGGGAACUCUAGUGAAACUGCCGUCGUAAGACGUGAGGAAGGAGGGGAUGAUGUCAAGUCAUCAUGGCCUUUAUGCCCAGGGCUACACACGUGCUACAAUGGGGCGUACAAAGGGCUGCAACAUAGCGAUAUGAAGCUGAUCCCAAAAAACGCCUCUCAGUUCAGAUUGGAGUCCGCAACUCGACUCCAUGAAGCUGGAAUCGCUAGUAAUCGUAUAUCAGCAAUGAUACGGUGAAUACGUUCCCGGGCCUUGUACACACCG